rnacentral:rRNA from 1 species
UACAGAGGUCUCAAGCGUUGUUCGGAUUCAUUGGGCGUAAAGGGUGCGUAGGCGGCGCGGUAAGUCGGGCGUGAAAUCUCGGAGCUUAACUUCGAAACUGCAUUCGAUACUGCCGUGCUUGAGGACUGGAGAGGAGACUGGAAUUUACGGUGUAGCGGUGAAAUGCGUAGAGAUCGUAAGGAAGACCAGUGGCGAAGGCGGGUCUCUGGACAGUUCCUGACGCUGAGGCACGAAGGUCAGGGGAGCGAACAGG